rnacentral:sRNA from 1 species
AGUUCUCCUGGCGCGUCUUCAAGCCGCAGGUGUUUCCUCCCUCCCCUGCUGGUGAUGCGCCCGCCUUGCCUCGCUUGCCGCUUUUGCGGAGCGAGGCUUUUU